UCGUCGACAAACAAGACACACACAGAUGAGAGUUAUUGAGUAAUCUCGUCAGAGGGUGGCGUUAGCCCACUGAAAGCACUACUUGUACUGAACAGAAGCGAAAACAUCUAGCCGAAGCCCUGCAAUGGAUUGACACCCUGUCCAGAGUGUUCCUGCAUUGCGCGCCCAGUGAUUCUCAGAACCUGAGCCCACCAGAAGCCCUAACAAGGAUGAAGUGGUUGAUGAUAAUGGAAACGCAUUUGCCAAACCUAGAUCUGAAUAUGAUUUUGAGAACUGGUAAAGGACUUUAUAACACAAGGUCCCAUUGAUCCAGAGUCCAAUAGCAGUGUGCUUUACACUACACAACCAACAGCCCUGCAAAAGUUAUUUAGUAGUUUGUGAUUCUUUCCACCCUUUUUUCUAAUCUUGUAACUUUGAACUCACUACAAUUGCCCUGCCACUUGUAUCCCACCAUCGCCAAGCAGGGUCAAAGACUAGCAUCCUUUCUUCCAACACAUGUGAAGUCGACGGCCACUUCUUUACACCAGCCAGCAGUGGAUUCUCGCAUGCAGCCAUACCACAUACAGAGAGCUCCACUUCUUAUGCUGCACCUUAUCCAACCCUGUUCUACCUCCCUUACCCUAGACAUGCUCAAUUGUGUCUGUGGUUGUUUGACCAGGCUGGUAGCACCACUGACAACCAAACAUGAGAGCUUGAACUCUCCACAUUGGUGGGCAAGUGAAUUAGACUGCUGUGCUACCCAGGUAGCAACAACCAGGUUAUUUACUGCUUAAACAUACUGCUUAACCCAACAAACACACAGAUGAGCUGUUGUUGCUCCUAGAGAUAUACUUUCUUUAAGCAUUUUCUCCCCUUUUUCUCACCCUUUUUAGCGCGUCCAAUUGCCCGAUUGCGCCAUGCUUCCUCUCCACCAAUGCCAGAGAACGAAGCUAACCCACGCCCCCUCCGACACUUGGGCAGCAUGCCGUAUGAAUCUUAUCACCUACACUUUGACGAGUGCAGUGCAGCUCAGCGUUGUGUAUGGAGAGACACACUCUGAGAGCACUCUUUUGUCAUCUUUGUGUAGGCGCCAUCAAUCAGCCAGCAGAGGUCGUAAUUGCACCAGUCAUGAGAGAGAGACCCUAUCCGGCUUAGUCCCGAACGACAGGCCAAUCGUUGAUCAUGUGGCCACUCAGCCUUAGCCGGCAGGCAGAGCUGAGAUUCGAUACGAUGUAUUCGAGAUCCCAGCUCUGGUUCCAGCGUGUGUUUUUACCGCUGCACCACCUGAGCGGCCGCUCCUAGAGAUUUUUUGUUUGACUUUUUUUUCAUAACAGUGCAACACAGCAAAACGGUGAUCUGUUUCGUUUAAACCAUUCCCCCACCACCAUCUGUUGUUGUGUCUUCCGAAUUAACCAAAUAACAAUUUCAUAUGUAAUUAAACUCAAUCUGUCCAAUUUGAUCUGUAAUUGUUGUAUAUCUUAGAUAGCUCCUUGUAACAAUAACCAGUCUCUUGGAAUGUUUGUACAAAAAUAGCUUUUUCCUGCUAAAAGGAGAGCAAAAAUCACAUGAGAUUCCAAAGACAGACCACCAGCUGACCGCAUAGCUGACUCGGCCAGAGACGAGACUGACAUGACAAGGCUGUGGAAAGCAUCCCUAAAAAUACAGACCAGAAGCAGACGCUCCCAUAUUUCAGUCUGCUGUUUAACCCGUAACUUUGAAAUAGCUUUAUCUGACUCACGUACGUACUUUUAUAAUAACUGUGAGAGUUUUUCUUCAAUCUACAACCCCAAAUCAGAAAAAAGCUGGGAGAGUAUGGAAAAUGCAAAUAAAAUAAAAAUGCAGAGUUUCUUACAUUUA